rnacentral:tRNA from 2 species
UCUCUGGUGGUCUAGUAGCUAGAAUUCGGCGCUUUCACCGCCGCGGCCCGGGUUCGAUUCCCGGUCAGGGAA